rnacentral:rRNA from 1 species
GCCAAGGACGCCCGCGUGCGGAAGAAGGCCUCGGUUUGUAAACGCUUUCAGGGAGGACGAAGCCUCGGUUAAUAGCCCAGAGGGUGACGGUACCUCCAGAAGAAGUCCGCUAACUACCCAGCAGCCGCGGUGUAAGGGGCGUUGUCCGGAUUAUUGGCGUAAAGCGCGUGUAGGCGGCCAGGUAGGUCGGUGAAAACUCGAGGCUACCAACCUCGAGCUGUCGGCCGAAACCAUCUGGCUAGAGUCCGGAAGAGGAGAGUGGAAUGCAAUCCCGGUGUAGCGGUGAAGCAUACGCAGAUAUCGGGAAGAACACCCGUGGCGAAGGCGGCUCUGCUCUGGGACGGUACUGAUGAGACGCGAAAGCGUGGGGAGCGAACAGGAUUAGAUACCCUGGUAGUCCACGCCGUAAACGAUGGGAACUAGGUGUGGGCGGUGUCGACUCCGUCCGUGCCGAAGCUAACGCAUUAAGUUCCCCGCCUGGGGCGCAGUGGGGCCGCAAGGCUAAUAAACUCAAAGGAAUUGACGGGGGCCCGCACAAGCAGCGGAGCAUGGUUUAAUUCUACGGACGCGAAGAACCUUCAGGGCUACAUGCACUGGAAUGUCGUAGAAAUACGGCAGCCCUUCGGGGCCAGUGUGCACAGACGCGACUGGUGUGCAUGGCUGUCGUCAGCUCGUGUCGUGAGAUGUUGGGAGUCCCGCAACGAGCGCAACCCCGCAUGUUGCCAGCAUUUAGUUGGGGACUCAUGCGAGACUGCCGGUGACAAACCGGUUAAGGAAGCGUCGUGGGGAUGACGUCAAGUCAUCAUGCCCCUUAUGUUCAGGGCUACACACGUGCUACAUUGGCGCGUACAGAGGGCUGCGAUACCGCGAGGUGGAGCGAAUCCCUCAAAGCGCGUCUCGGUUCGGAUUGCCUGAAACUCGCCUGCAUGAAGGCGGAGUUGCUAGUAAUCGCGGAUCAGCAUAGGUGCCGCGGUGAAUACGUUCCCGGGCCUUGUACACACCGCCCGUC